ACUCCUACGGGAGGCAGCAGUGGGGAAUAUUGCACAAUGGGCGCAAGCCUGAUGCAGCCAUGCCGCGUGUAUGAAGAAGGCCUUCGGGUUGUAAAGUACUUUCAGCAGUGAGGAAGGUGGAGUCGUUAAUAGCGGCCUCAUUUGACGUUAGCUGCAGAAAGAAGCACCGGGCUAAACUCCGUGCCAGCUAGCCGCGGGUAAUACGGAGGGUGCGAGCGUUAAUCGGAAUUACUGGGCGUAAAGCGCAUGCAGGUGGUUUGUUAAGUCAGAUGUGAAAGCCCGGGGCUCAAGCCUCGGAAUUGCAUUUGAAAUCUGGCAGACUAGAGUACUG
rnacentral:rRNA from 1 species